UCUCGCUGCAUCGGGCAGGCACCAGCACCAGAGUGGGCCGACAUGUUCAGCUCAGCCUCACGGUUCUACCCCCGCCCGUGACGCUCCGAAAUUUAGCAUCCGCUUCACCCUUUUAAUCCCUCCCCGCUAUGAAAAAGAAAGCAAAGUUGAUGGUUCUCCAAUCGUCCCACCGCCGCAACCAAGCAAACCAAAACCCCAAACUUAGCAAAAACCCAAAUUUAACCUCGCUCGCCCUCGUCUUGGCCUCCCCCACCGCCGCUCCCCCUCCCCCCCGCGCCAGCCCCUCUCCGCCCGGAUCCUCCACACUCGCCGGCGAUCGCCGGAGACCCCCGCGCCGGCGAUCUCCGGCGGUCGCCAGCAAUGCCUCCCCCGCCGCAGUCCAUCGCCGGCAAGGUCAGCCGCUUCUUCAGCUUCGCGGCGGCGCGGGACCGCUGCUUCAACCGCCGCUUCCUCGCCGCCGGCCUCCGCCCGGUCUCCAUCCAGCUCCCCGACUCGGCGCGCCCGGUCUCCAUCUCCGACUCGGCGGACCCCGUCACCACCGUCCACAUGUGGGUCCCCGCCAGGCCGCCACGCAACCCCCUGGUCCUCCUCCACGGCUUCGGCGCCUCCGCCACGUGGCAGUGGUACCCCUACCUCCGCCCCCUCAUCGCCGCCGGCUUCGACCCCAUCGUCCCCGACCUCGUCUUCUUCGGCAACUCCUCCACCCGCCUCCCCGAUCGCUCCGACACAUUCCAGGCGUGGUCGAUCAAGACGGCGCUGGAGGCGAUCGGGGUGACCAAGUUUGGGCUGGUUGGGGUGAGUUAUGGAGGGUUCGUGGGGUACAGGAUGGCGGCGAUGUACCCGGACGCGGUGGAGAGGGUGACUCUGGUGUGCGCCGGCGUUUGCCUGGAGGAGAAGGACCUCGCGGAGGGUCUGUUCCCGGUGGCCGCGGUCGAUGAGGCGGCAGCGCUGCUGGUGCCACGGCGGCCGGAGGAGGUGCGGCGCCUGGUCAGGCUCACAUUCGUGCGACCGCCGAUCAUCAUGCCGUCGUGCUUCCUUUGGGACUACAUUAAGGUGAUGGGCUCAGACCAUAUCCAGGAGAAGACUGAGCUACUACACGCUUUGAUUAGUGGGAGGCAAAUUUCGACUCUUCCAAAACUACGUCAGGUAGUUUCUUGCAAAAUUCUGCUCUCAGAAGACGCUGAUAAUUUGGGGGGAGCAAGAUAAGGUGUUCCCGAUGGAAUUGGCUCACAGAUUGAAGAGGCAUCUGGAUGGGAACUCUCGGUUGGCAGUCAUACACAACGCUGGGCACGCAGUCAAUCUCGAGAAGCCUGCAGAGGUGUGCAAGAGCAUCAUCGAGUUUUUCCAAGAGCCGAUCCCCGAAGCUUCAAACGACGAAAGGGUGUAGUAGGCGUGGCUCUCAUCGAAGCGGCGGAUGGUGUCUUCUUCGCUGGGCAUCGGCAUUGCGGUCAAAACUGACACUGGAAGAGGGGAGGAAGAGGGGGGAUCGCAGCGUUUUCACCGUUCUCGGUGGAAAAAUACCUGAUGUAUGUUGCCUUGAGCAGUGUAAUCAUCGGUUAUGUGAACUGGCAUGCCUGCCAGAGCACGUUGUGCUACCGUUGAGAUGAUGAAAUGUCGCAUCGUUUUCCCUGUGGCUUCCGUUA